UGCCCUGCCACCAUCUGGCAUCUAAGGUGGAGAUGCAGAGGAGGCAGGAUUCUCCUGUCUACUCGCUGUGCUGUUUCCCACUGAGCAGCUCAGCCAGGGGUCAGGGCGCAAAUAAAGUCCCCUCCCCUCAUGACACACUUCCCAAGGGGAGACGCUGACACAAACCAGGCAGAAAAUUAAUAAAACAUGGGGACAGUGUUGGCUUUGUUCUGUGCUAUUAGAGGAAGAAAACUGAAACACAAAAGUAGCCUUCAGCCACGGAAGAGAGAAAGCGCAUGGUCCCUGGUCCAGCCUGCCACUGUCAUUGAAGAAGGUCUGAGGAGCAACACCCAGGCUCUCCAGAGAAAGGUGGGACAGAGGAGAGGGUGAGGCCCGGGAGGGGACGCUGACCACUCCCCGGCAACCCACCUGCAAGAACCACUUCAGAGGACAAAGCCUCAGGGAGCUCUGACGUCCACAAAGGACACGUAAGACUUGUUUUCCAGGCCUCCUCUGAGACA